CGGGGACAGCAUGCCAGGCAUUGGGCGGGCCGCAGAGCUGAGGAGCGUGGCCUGCUCCAAAGGAGCUCCCAGUACCUGAUUGCUGUCGAGAGGGGUGGACAAGGGGGCCUGGGGCGAGAGGCCAAGUUCCCAGAAUCCGCACCAAAGAUGAGACAAGGGCAGUCACAAUUUUUUGAGGACUUGCAGCAUCUUAGGAGACCCAGUUCCAGCCCUCACUUUCUCCUCUGCUCGGAUCGACAUCUGAGAAGGAAGACCACAACUGCAUACCGUUUUAUAGAUCUGCCUGAUGAAAACCAGCUCUCCCUAUAGGUCCCACCGCGUAUGAAACACACGGUUUUUGUCAAGAAAACCAGCUACCAGCUGAAAGAGUUCUGAUGCUAUUGCUAGCAUCUUGGUCCCCCACGUCCUGGGACAGCAUGGGUAACAAGCAAGGCUGUGUCUGGUCUUCGCCUGAGCUAAAACAGAACUCACCAUUUUUACCAAGACCUUGAGGGCCACGGCUUGGGUCCCGUCAGCGGCAAGCCCUCCACGCAGUGUCCCUUAACGCAGAUGGCAUUGGAGUCCCUAUAACAUUUUUCAAAGAGCUCCACAGUAAGAAUUUGGUAAAAUCCCAAAGCCAAUGCCUUGACUGGCGAAAAACAGAGGGAAAGUCUACUAAAAUGAGAUGACUUCAGAAAAUAAGACUCCACGGCACCUGGGUGGCUCAGUCAUUGAGCGUCUGCCUUUAGCUCAGGUCAUGGUCCCAGGCUCCUGGGAU